rnacentral:rRNA from 1 species
AUGAACGCUAGCGGCAAGGCUUAAACACAUGCAAGGUCAGGGGUAGAAGGAGCUUGCUCCUUUGAGACCGGCGCACGGGUGCGUAACGCGUAUGCAAUCUACCUUUGCAGAGGGAUAGCCCAAGAGAAAUUUGGAUUAAUACCUCAUAGUAUGUGAGGAUGGCAUCAUUUUCACAUUAAAGUCACAACGGCAAAAGAUGAGCAUGCGUCCCAUUAGCUAGUUGGUAAGGUAACGGCUUACCAAGGCUACGAUGGGUAGGGGUCCUGAGAGGGAGAUCCCCCACACUGGUACUGAGACACGGACCAGACUCCUACGGGAGGCAGCAGUGAGGAAUAUUGGACAAUGGGCGCAAGCCUGAUCCAGCCAUGCCGCGUGCAGGAUGAUGGUCCUAUGGAUUGUAAACUGCUUUUGUACAGGAAGAAACACUACUUCGUGAAGUAGCUUGACGGUACUGUAAGAAUAAGGAUCGGCUAACUCCGUG